rnacentral:rRNA from 1 species
UAAAAAGUUCUAAAAGCACAAAGAUUUGGUCCUGGUCUUAUUGUCAGUUAUCUCUUGAUUUACACAUGCAAGUMUCAGCACACCAGUGAGGACGCCCUUACCCCUUYUAUAGGACAAGGAGCUGAUAUCAGGCACUUCCACCGCCCAUAACAUCUAGUCCGACCACACCCCCAAGGGUAUUCAGCAGUGAUAAACAUYGUUUAUAAGCGACAGCUUGACUCAGUCAAAGAGAAGAGGGCCGGCCAACCCGGUGCCAGCCGCCGCGGCUAAACCCUAGGGCCCAAAUUGAUAAUACUCGGCGUCAAUCGUGAUUAAAGCUUUYCUAAAAUUAGAGUAGAACCUAUUAUUAAGCUGUGAAAAGCAAUUUUUUUAGGGAAAAUCAGAAACGAAAGUUACUCUAAUAUACACUUGAACACACGACAACUGGGAAACAAACU